AGAUGGUACCUAUGAAGGCGAUGACGGGGACAGGCCUGUAUUCACUUGCUUGCCUUCUCGUGAUCAGUAGUGUCUGUUCUAUCUGUGUUCCUUUGAAGUCUCUAAGGUCUAACUUAACCCACUCACCUGGAAUGUCUGGGAAUCUCGUAGCAGAGAUGGCUAUCUAUCCCUCAGCCGUCUGUGACUCCCUGUGCUCAAACACUACCCAAUGCUUCAAUGGCACUG